rnacentral:rRNA from 1 species
AGCAGCCGCGGUAAUUCCAGCUCCAAUAGCGUAUAUUAAAGUUGUUGCAGUUAAAAAGCUCGUAGUUGAAUUUCGGGGUUAGCAGGUCGGUCGUGCCAUCGGUAUGAACUGGUCUCGCUGAUCCCUCCCUCUUGACGAACUGUGAUGCCAUUAAUUUGGUGUCGCAGGGAAUCAGGACUGUUACUUUGAAAAAAUUAGAGUGUUUAAAGCAGGCUCACGCUUGAAUACAUUAGCAUGGAAUAAUGAAAUAGGACGUUUGAUCCUAUUUUGUUGGCUUCUAGGAUUGACGUAAUGAUUAAUAGGGAUAGUUGGGGGCAUUAGUAUUCAAUUGUCAGAGGUGAAAUUCUUGGAUUUAUUGAAGACUAACUACUGCGAAAGCAUUUGCCAAGGAUGUUUUCAUUAAUCAAGAACGAAAGUUAGGGAUCGAAGACGAUCAGAUACCGUCGUAGU